AGAGUUUGAUCCUGGCUCAGGACGACCUUUGGCGGCGUGCCUAACACAUGCAAGUCGAACGGAGAUAUGGAGCUUGCUCCAUAGAUUAGUGGCGGACGGCUGAGUAACGCGUAAGAAGCUGUCCGAUGCAGGGGGACAACAGACGGAAACAUCUGCUAAUACCCCAUAAGCCGAGAGGUAAAAGAAUAAUCGGCAUCGGAGGUGCUUGCGUCCUAUCAGCUAGUAGGGGCGGUAAAAGCGCACCUAGGCGAAGACGGGUAGCCGGACUGAGAGGUUGGACGGCCACAUUGGAACUGAGACACGGUCCAGACUCCUACGGGAGGCAGCAGUGGGGAAUAUUGGGCAAUGGGGGCAACCCUGACCCAGCGACGCCGCGUGAGUGAAGAAAUCCCUCGGGAUGUAAAGCUCUGUUGUACGGGACGAGAGAGAGACGGUACCGUACGAGGAAGCCCCGGCAAACUACGUGCCAGCAGCCGCGGUAAUACGUAGGGGGCGAGCGUUGUCCGGAAUUACUGGGCGUAAAGCGCACGCAGGCUGAUUGUUAAGUCAGAUGUAAAAUAGUGAGGCUCAACUUCAUUAUGCGUCUGAUACUGGCAGUCUAGAGUAUGUGAGAGGAAAGCGGAAUUCCUGGUGUAGCGGUGAAAUGCGUAGAUAUCAGGAGGAACACCGGUGGCGAAGGCGGCUUUCUGGCACAAGACUGACGCUCAUGUGCGAAAGCCAGGGAAGCGAACGGGAUUAGAUACCCCGGUAGUCCUGGCCGUAAACGAUGGAUACUAGGUGUGGGUGUCGCAGGGCAUCCGUGCCGGAGUUAACGCGAUAAGUAUCCCGCCUGGGGACUACGGCCGCAAGGCUGAAACUCAAAGGAAUUGACGGGGGCCCGCACAAGCGGUGGAGCACGUGGUUUAAUUCGAUGCAAACCGAAGAACCUUACCUGGAUUUGACAUACAUGUGGUAGUGAAGGGAAACUGGAACGACCUUAGCUUGCUAAGGAGCAUGAACAGGUGCUGCAUGGUUGUCGUCAGCUCGUGUCGUGAGAUGUUGGGUUAAGUCCCGCAACGAGCGCAACCCCUAUGGUCAGUUGCUAACAGGAGAGCUGAGCACUCUGGCGAGACUGCCGCCGACAAGGCGGAGGAAGGUGGGGACGACGUCAAAUCAUCAUGGCCUUUAUGUCCAGGGCGACACACGUGCUACAAUGGCCGGCACAGACGGAAGCGACUUUGCGAAAAGGAGCGGAUCCUCGAAAGCCGGUCCCAGUUCGGACUGCAGUCUGCAACUCGACUGCACGAAGUCGGAAUCGCUAGUAAUCGCAGAUCAGCCAAGCUGCGGUGAAUACGUUCCCGGGCCUUGUACACACCGCCCGUCAAG
rnacentral:rRNA from 1 species